GAUCUUAACCUUCAGCUUCCGUCACAGACUCUGUAAGCCUGACAUGUUCGCUAAGAAGAGCUGGAUGAUACCAGGGGCACAGCUUACACAAACACGUGGAAACGGGCCGGCGACUAGAUGAAGCUUCCAAGCAGCCCCAGGGUGGAGGCACUCUCCAGCCAUCACCGGGGACCGGCCGGGAGGGAGGAGGAGGAGGACAGGGAUGGCGGUCGGGCCGCGGGAGGAGCCCACUGUCGCUGCAGCCCCGUGAGGAGACCGGGGCCGAGCCCGGGCCCGCCUGGGGCCUCCGAGCAGCGCGUGCUAACGAGAAGUAUGUCAACAUGCCAUGAAGCCAAAAGGAGCAGAGAAAGCAAAGGAGUCAAGAAAAGGAAAGAAUUUCAACCAUUUCUCUGAGAAAGGAGCAUGUGAAAUGAGAGGCUACUGCAAUGCUGUGAAAUCUGUUACACUCUGUGACCUGGCACUGAUGAAGCAUGGUACAAAGCAGCACCUUGCACUGCUGCAGUCCCUCGAUCUGACGUUCAGGACAAGUCACAAUCUGAUCCUACAUUUGCAGAAACAAUCACCUAAGAGGAGUAAAUUGUUCAAAGCUCACAUGUGAAAUCUUGUUUUGAUGUGAAAUCUUCACUGGUUGAAAUCAAUGAAGCUCAGAUUACCACAUGCAAGGGGUGAAGAGAACUACAUUUCCAGGUAUUAAUAAAAUACAUUUCAGAAUUCCUUAGAGGGUUAAACACUAAGUUAAACAUUUACUCAUUCACCUUACACUAAGUAUUGAUAGCCUCCCAACAAUGAUAUUUAACUCUAGCCACCUUUGUUUUUUUCUUCCAAGCAAGACAUCUGUCAGCUGUUGCUUAUGAAUUAGGAGAAAAUAAUUAAAUUUAAUUUUACAUAUUACUUAA